rnacentral:rRNA from 1 species
AAAUCCGCUUAUCGUGAAGGCUGAGCUGUGAUGGGGAAGCUCCUUAUGGAGCGAAGUCUUUGAUUCCCCGCUGCCAAGAAAAGCUUCUAGCGAGAUAAAAGGUGCCUGUACCGCAAACCGACACAGGUAGGCGAGGAGAGAAUCCUAAGGUGUGCGAGAGAACUCUGGUUAAGGAACUCGGCAAAAUGACCCCGUAACUUCGGGAGAAGGGGUGCUUUCUUAACGGAAAGCCGCAGUGAAUAGGCCCAAGCGACUGUUUAGCAAAAACACAGGUCUCUGCGAAGCCGUAAGGCGAAGUAUAGGGGCUGACACCUGCCCGGUGCUGGAAGGUUAAGGAGAGGGGUUAGCGUAAGCGAAGCUCUGAACUGAAGCCCCAGUAAACGGCGGCCGUAACUAUAACGGUCCUAAGGUAGCGAAAUUCCUUGUCGGGUAAGUUCCGACCCGCACGAAAGGUGUAACGAUUUGGGCACUGUCUCAACCAGAGACUCGGUGAAAUUAUAGUACCUGUGAAGAUGCAGGUUACCCGCGACAGGACGGAAAGACCCCGUGGAGCUUUACUGUAGCCUGAUAUUGAAUUUUGGUACAGUUUGUACAGGAUAGGCGGGAGCCAUUGAAACCGGAGCGCUAGCUUCGGUGGAGGCGCUGGUGGGAUACCGCCCUGACUGUAUUGAAAUUCUAACCUACGGGUCUUAUCGACCCGGGAGACAGUGUCAGGUGGGCAGUUUGACUGGGGCGGUCGCCUCCUAAAGUGUAACGGAGGCGCCCAAAGGUUCCCUCAGAAUGGUUGGAAAUCAUUCGUAGAGUGCAAAGGCAUAAGGGAGCUUGACUGCGAGACCUACAAGUCGAGCAGGGACGAAAGUCGGGCUUAGUGAUCCGGUGGUUCCGCAUGGAAGGGCCAUCGCUCAACGGAUAAAAGCUACCCCGGGGAUAACAGGCUUAUCUCCCCCAAGAGUCCACAUCGACGGGGAGGUUUGGCACCUCGAUGUCGGCUCAUCGCAUCCUGGGGCUGUAGUCGGUCCCAAGGGUUGGGCUGUUCGCCCAUUAAAGCGGUACGCGAGCUGGGUUCAGAACGUCGUGAGACAGUUCGGUCCCUAUCCGUCGUGGGCGUAGGAAAUUUGAGAGGAGCUGUCCUUAGUACGAGAGGACCGGGAUGGACGCACCGCUGGUGUACCAGUUGUUCUGCCAAGGGCAUAGCUGGGUAGCUAUGUGCGGAAGGGAUAAGUGCUGAAAGCAUCUAAGCAUGAAGCCCCCCUCAAGAUGAGAUUUCCCAUAGCGUAAGCUAGUAAGAUCCCUGAAAGAUGAUCAGGUUGAUAGGUUCGAGGUGGAAGCAUGGUGACAUGUGGAGCUGACGAAUACUAAUAGAUCGAGGACUUAACCAU